UACAGAGGGUGCAAGCGUUGUUCGGAAUUAUUGGGCGUAAAGGGCGCGUAGGCGGUGCGGUAAGUCUGUAGUGAAAUCUCUGGGCUCAACUCAGAGUCUGCUGCAGAAACUGCCGUGCUUGAGUGUGGGAGAGGUGAGUGGAAUUCCCGGUGUAGCGGUGAAAUGCGCAGAUAUCGGGAGGAACACCAGUGGCGAAGGCGGAACUCUGGGCCGGAACUGACGCUGAGGAGCGAAAGCGUGGGGAGCGAACAGG
rnacentral:rRNA from 1 species